UGUAAGCGUAUAUCAAAGUUGUUGCAGUUAAAACGCUCGUAGUCGGAAUUUGGCAGUUCCGGAAGUGUGCACGUCGUGUGCGCACUUUGCGGGGACUGCUUUUGUGGUCUUGCGUAGGAUGAGGCACUUUCAUUAGUGAACGUCCUCACGCAACCACUCUUUACUGUGAGAAAAUCAGAGUGCUCAAAGCAGGCAUUUGCCGUGAAUGUAUUAGCAUGGAAUAAUAGAAUAGGACUCGGUUCUAUUUUGUUGGUUUGUUGGGACUGAGUAAUGAUUAAGAGGGACAGUUGGGGGCAUUUGUAUUCCGGCGCUAGAGGUGAAAUUCUUAGAUUGCCGGAAGACAAACUGCUGCGAAAGCGUCUGCCAAGGAUGUUUUCAUUGA
rnacentral:rRNA from 1 species